AGUGAACGCUGGCGGUAGGCCUAACACAUGCAAGUCGAACGGCAGCACAGUAAGAGCUUGCUCUUACGGGUGGCGAGUGGCGGACGGGUGAGGAAUACAUCGGAAUCUACUUUUUCGUGGGGGAUAACGUAGGGAAACUUACGCUAAUACCGCAUACGACCUACGGGUGAAAGCAGGGGAUCUUCGGACCUUGCGCGAUUGAAUGAGCCGAUGUCGGAUUAGCUAGUUGGCGGGGUAAAGGCCCACCAAGGCGACGAUCCGUAGCUGGUCUGAGAGGAUGAUCAGCCACGCUGGAACUGAGACACGGUCCAGACUCCUACGGGAGGCAGCAGUGGGGAAUAUUGGACAAUGGGCGCAAGCCUGAUCCAGCCAUACCGCGUGGGUGAAGAAGGCCUUCGGGUUGUAAAGCCCUUUUGUUGGGAAAGAAAAGCAUCAGGUUAAUACCCCGCUGUUCUGACGGUACCCAAAGAAUAAGCACCGGCUAACUUCGUG
rnacentral:rRNA from 1 species